rnacentral:rRNA from 1 species
UUUGCCUACGGGGCGCAGCAGUGAGGAAUAUUGGUCAAUGGGCGGGAGCCUGAACCAGCCAAGCCGCGUGAGGGAAGAAGGUACAGCGUAUCGUAAACCUCUUUUGUCAGGGAACAAAGGCGGGGACUAGUCCCCGGAUGAGGGUACCUGAAGAAAAAGCAUCGGCUAACUCCGUGCCAGCAGCCGCGGUAAUACGGAGGAUGCGAGCGUUAUCCGGAUUUAUUGGGUUUAAAGGGGGCGCAGGCGGUCUGUUAAGUCAGCGGUCAAAGCCCGGGG